AUCAUCUGAGCUUAUGUACAUCUAAAUUUCUGCUCAAACACAUAAUCUAUUAAUCUAUGUUUCUUUCUGUCAUAGUGAAUGUACUUCAGCCUAUAUGCCAUUUAUCCCAUAGAGUGUGAGGCACAUGUAACACUGAAAAAGACUUAGCUUCCACAUAAUAUUUCUUAUAGUUGACCUGAUUUCUAUUUCAAGAUGGGAAUAUUUCUCAACUGGAUAUUGGCAUGAACUUAUUCCUUCUCUCUUUGAAAGAAAAUUUAUGAAUACAUCUAAGUAAGGUAAAUUAAACUAAUUUUUG
rnacentral:misc_RNA from 1 species